GUCUAAUUUUCAAGGUUAUCAAUAACCAACAAAUAACUUACCACAAAAUUUAUUUAUGUAUUCUACAUAGCUCCAUUCUUAUCUAUGCAGUGUCCUCGCAAAUAUUAUUUAGCUUCAACUUAUAAAGACGUAGCAGCGUUGGCUUCUUCAGUCAAUAGCGUUAGCUUACCACCCUUUGAAUUGGUGACCUCUUCCUCUGUUACAUCUUCAUCGUCUACUUCAGUGUUUGAAGGUUCUCCAUCCAAACGUGCCAUCAGAUCUUCAUUCAACAAACCUAAUUCCCAUACUUGAGACUCAAAAUGGGCAAUUUGGUUUGGCGCGCUCCUCCAACAUCUUCUACCAUUCUCCUGUCGAUUUCAAAGGUAUCUCCAAAGGUAUUGUCGCUAAAACUGGCAUAUUGGUCUACACUAAAUUAUUAGCUUCCUUCUCUAAUGCGACUAAUUUAGUCUGCAACAUCGUAAUCUCUAUCUGUAGCCGCUCUUGCCAUUCCUUCCAAUCGGUCUCCAUCUUUGCUUUCUCAGACACCAUAUUUACUACCUUCUCCUUUUCUGCCAUCUAUUUCUCCUUAAUCCUAACUUCCUCCAGUGCAACGUCAAUUAGUGGUAAGUUUUACAAAAUGCGUAAAGAUCCAUGCCUAUGCACUCCUCAAAAAUCCUACUACUUCUCCUUAGUCCAACAAACAUCCAAUUGGAUCAGCUCCAUAUUAGUCAUAAUAAUACACUCUAAUGGUGGCAACUCAUCCUUGCGCCUUACAUUACGUUGUUUCUCUUUCCUAUUCAACUUACUCUUAAUCUUUUUAAUUACCAUUGUAUUCUAACAUAAGUAAGCACUCACAACUAAUCUCUCAAAAUACACAUACAUGGUUGCUUACACAAAAAAAAACACGAUGCUUAUUAAGAAUCCUCUUCCUACUUCUUACUAUGGACCAAUCAAUUGGGUCGACUCCCCCUUAUUUUCCACAAUUUGUCAUAAUGAAAUACCCUACUAACUAGGUCUGAUAACUAGUCUUUACUACCACCGUCACUAAUUCCAUCCAUAUACCUCAUACUUCUUAUUACCUUACAUUUACUACCCUAUCAUCAUCAU
rnacentral:lncRNA from 1 species